rnacentral:rRNA from 1 species
GUGAGUAACACGUGGAUAACCUACCUAUAAGACUGGGAUAACUUCGGGAAGCCGGAGCUAAUACCGGAUAAUAUAUUGAACCGCAUGGUUCAAUAGUGAAAGACGGUUUUGCUGUCACUUAUAGAUGGAUCCGCGCCGCAUUAGCUAGUUGGUAAGGUAACGGCUUACCAAGGCAACGAUGCGUAGCCGACCUGAGAGGGUGAUCGGCCACACUGGAACUGAGACACGGUCCAG